UGCACAAUGGGGGCAACCCUGAUGCAGCGACGCCGCGUGUGGGAGGAAGGCCUUCGGGUUGUAAACCACUGUCGGGCGGGACGAGCCGGGGGUCGUCGAACAGGCGGCUCCUCCGACGGUACCGUCCAUAGGAAGCUCCGGCUAACUCCGUGCCAGCAGCCGCGGUAAAACGGAGGGAGCAAGCGUUGUCCGGAAUUACUGGGCGUACAGAGCGCGUAGGCGGCCAGGUCAGUCGUAUGUGAAAGGCCCGGGCUCAACCCGGGCAUGCCAUGCGAUACUGCCUGGCUCGAGGCCGGCAGGGGCCAGUGGAAUUCCCGGUGUAGCGGUGGAAUGCGUAGAUAUCGGGAGGAACACCAGCGGCGAAGGCGACUGGCUGGGCCGGACCUGACGCUGCAGCGCGAAAGCGUGGGGAUCAAACA
rnacentral:rRNA from 1 species